rnacentral:rRNA from 1 species
GAUCAAGCUACAAAGAGCAUACGGAGGAUGCCUUGGUACAUGGCGCCGAAGAAGGACGUGACAAGCUGCGAUAAGCUGCGGUAAGGAGCAAAUAUCCUGUGACCCGCAGAUUUCCGAAUGAGGGAACUCACCGUUAAAUAAUAUAACGGUAUCUAUAACUGAAUCCAUAGGUUAUAGAGGGGAACCCGGGGAACUGAAACAUCUUAGUACCCGGAGGAAAAGAAAGUAAAAACGAUUCCGCGAGUAGUGGCGAGCGAAAACGGACCAGCCCGAAGGAGCAGUAGUAAUACGGCUCUGGUAUCAAAAGAACGAGAAAGCCUAGCUGAAGAUAGUUGGAAAGCUACACGACACAAAGUGACAGUCUUGUAGGCGAAAGGGUUUUAAGUUUGGAUACAGCGAGUACGUCGGAACACGAGGAAUUCUGACGGAAUAAGUGGGGACCAUCCCAUAAGGCUAAAUACGACCAUGUGACCGAUAGCGAAUAGUACCGUGAGGGA